AUGACAAUCAACAAAGCUCAAGGUCAAACUAUUCCAAAUGUUGGCAUCUAUCUUCCAGAGCCGGUGUUCUCUCAUGGUCAACUCUAUGUUGCUUUAUCAAGAGGGAUGUCAAGACAAACAACAAGAAUACUUGCAAAGCCAAAUAAGGAAAUUGAUCCAUCAGGAAAAAGCAACAAAAACAUUGUCUAUAAAGAUGUCUUGACGUGUGGCACCGGCCAUGGAGAUGGCGCCACGGCUGCCCUGCCUGCUCCUGUAGCUGGGAGGAGAGGAUUGGGGCUGGGUUGGGCCAAAACUAUUACCUUAAGGCCCAGAGGCACAAUGAUAGGUUUUCUUUUUUUAUUUACUUUCUUUUAG
rnacentral:rRNA from 1 species